GACGAACGCUGGCGGCGUGCUUAACACAUGCAAGUCGAACGGAAAGGCCCUGCUUUUGUGGGGUGCUCGAGUGGCGAACGGGUGAGUAACACGUGAUUAACCUUCCCUUGACUUUGGGAUAACUUCAGGAAACUGGGGCUAAUACCGGAUAGGAGCUCCUGCUGCAUGGUGGGGGUUGGAAAGUUUCGGCGGUUGGGGAUGGACUCGCGGCUUAUCAGCUUGUUGGUGGGGUAGUGGCUUACCAAGGCUUUGACGGGUAGCCGGCCUGAGAGGGUGACCGGCCACAUUGGGACUGAGAUACGGCCCAGACUCCUACGGGAGGCAGCAGUGGGGAAUAUUGCACAAGGGGCGGAAGCCUGGUGCAGCAACGCCGCGUGCGGGAUGAAGGCCUUCGGGUUGUAAACCGCUUACGCCUGGGACGAAGAGUGAGUGACGGUAAUGGGUAAAGAAGCACCGGCUAAAUACGUG
rnacentral:rRNA from 1 species